rnacentral:rRNA from 1 species
ACUCCUACGGGAGGCAGCAGUGGGGAAUUUUGGACAAUGGGGGAAACCCUGAUCCAGCCAUGCCGCGUGCAGGAUGAAGGCCUUCGGGUUGUAAACUGCUUUUGUACGGAACGAAAAGACUCUUUCUAAUACAGAGGGUCCAUGACGGUACCGUAAGAAUAAGCACCGGCUAACUACGUGCCAGCAGCCGCGGUAAUACGUAGGGUGCAAGCGUUAAUCGGAAUUACUGGGCGUAAAGCGUGCGCAGGCGGUUAUAUAAGACAGAUGUGAAAUCCCCGGGCUCAACCUGGGAACUGCAUUAGUGACUGUAUAGCUGGAGUGCGGCAGAGGGGGAUGGAAUUCCGCGUGUAGCAGUGAAAUGCGUAGAUAUGCGGAGGAACACCGAUGGCGAAGGCAAUCCCCUGGGCCUGCACUGACGCUGAGGUACGAAAGCGUGGGGAGCAAACAGGAUUAGAUACCCUG